rnacentral:rRNA from 1 species
UACGUAGGUGGCAAGCGUUGUCCGGAUUUACUGGGCGUAAAGAGCGCGCAGGCGGUCGUUCAAGUCGCGUGUGAAAGCCCCCCGGCUCAACUGGGGAGGGUCACGCGAUACUGAUCGACUCGAAGGCAGGAGAGGGAAGUGGAAUUCCCGGUGUAGUGGUGAAAUGCGUAGAUAUCGGGAGGAACACCAGUGGCGAAGGCGACUUCCUGGCCUGUUCUUGACGCUGAGGCACGAAAGCGUGGGUAGCAAACAGGG